GAUGAACGCUGGCGGCGUGCCUAAUACAUGCAAGUCGAGCGAACAGACGAGGAGCUUGCUCCUCUGACGUUAGCGGCGGACGGGUGAGUAACACGUGGAUAACCUACCUAUAAGACUGGGAUAACUUCGGGAAACCGGAGCUAAUACCGGAUAAUAUAUUGAACCGCAUGGUUCAAUAGUGAAAGACGGUUUUGCUGUCACUUAUAGAUGGAUCCGCGCCGCAUUAGCUAGUUGGUAAGGUAACGGCUUACCAAGGCAACGAUGCGUAGCCGACCUGAGAGGGUGAUCGGCCACACGGGACCUGAGACGCGGCCCGGACCCCUAGGGGAGGCAGGAGUGGGGAAUUUUCCGAAAUGGGGGAAAGCCUGACGGAGCAACGCCGCGGGAGGGAAGAAGGUCUUCGGAUCGUAAAACUCUUUUAUUAGGGAAAAAAAAAUGUGUAAGUAACUAUCCCCUUUUUGACGGUACCAAAACAGAAAGCCACGGCUAACUACGU
rnacentral:rRNA from 1 species